rnacentral:lncRNA from 1 species
GUAAAUUAGAGGAACUAAGAGCAUAUGAUGGAGAGAAAAAUUCCAGCUUUCUAAUUUAUAGUGACCUUCAGGAAUCACCAUAAACCUUUACCACCCUCAAAUGAACACUUCAUUCCAUUCUUGAGAUAAGUUUCAGUGCGUGUAAAAAAUCGGACACUUUUUUACAUGCCCAAAUGCAAAUCAAGCUCUUUUGAAAGUCAUGACCUGUGAUGUACACUUAAAAUUUGUCUCUUAAUAUAUUCUUUUGCCAGAUGUGCCUGGAUGAUAUAAUCCCUGUCUAACCUUCUCUUCCAUCUCAUGACAUGGGAAAUACUCCAAGCAAUUGUAUGCCUCAACUAUAUGCAAUGUGAUUUCAUUCUCUCACUCCAUUGAGCUAUCUGCCCACCUAAAUGUGUGGGACUGAGGAAUCACCAUGAAAUUGGACCUGAUAGGAUGCCAGGAAAGAAAUCAAGAAGAAUUAAAAAAAUACAGUAGCCAUACUGUAUUUCAAACUGAGCUGCACUGGGAAUGCUGCAGGAAUUCUAAAGAACACAUCCAAGAUGAAAGGGAAGAGGAACAUUUUUUGGCUGGAGUUGGUGCAAACAAUUAUAGUGUAUCAUUCACCACACCUGAGGGAUUCACCACCACCUGUGGAUCUCCCUGAGUCUACAAAACAUGGUCUGAAAACCCCAAGCCAAAAUCAAAGCAGAAAGAAUGCAAGGAAGUGAAGUGUGGAAACGUUUCCUGAUUUGCUAAAGUCACCAGAGAGUCUGUGUGAUAGCUCAGGGCUGAACUCAGAUCUUUAAAGUCUUAGCCUGUGCUUUAAAAACAACUUUGCUCUCAGCUCCCAGGAAAUGUAUGGCUAGAUAGUACCUUCUGGAUGCUUCAUUUAGGGUCCCUGAAAAGAGUUUGUCAAUGAUAGUCAUCUCAAAAAGAAGUGUUCCAACAAAACACAGUUAUAUGUUACUCAGGUGUGCACUAAUUUUAAUAAUUCAUAUACACAUUUCUCUCUCUGGAGAAUAUGACCCAAAAGUAAUGACUUGCCAGACAGAAUAUCCUUUAUUCUCUUAGUCUGAGAGCAGUUAAUCUGGUCAUGAGUAAAUAUCAGUAUUAUCUAAAGGGUUUAUACUGAUGUGGAUGGUAUGGAUGGGAAAACACUUCUUGUCCUAGCUGUUGAUGUCCUACUGUAACUGAACUACAGUGUCUGGGUUUAAGUUUCAUAAACAGUGCAGGAGUUUUCUCAGUAAUUUUUAUAAUAAAUAUGAGUGACUGACAAUAUACCCCCGUAAG